AUGCAGUCGAGCGGUAGAGAGAAAGCUUGCUUCUCUUGAGAGCGGCGGACGGGUGAGUAAUGCCUAGGAAUCUGCCUGGUAGUGGGGGAUAACGUUCGGAAACGGACGCUAAUACCGCAUACGUCCUACGGGAGAAAGCAGGGGACCUUCGGGCCUUGCGCUAUCAGAUGAGCCUAGGUCGGAUUAGCUAGUUGGUGGGGUAAUGGCUCACCAAGGCGACGAUCCGUAACUGGUCUGAGAGGAUGAUCAGUCACACUGGAACUGAGACACGGUCCAGACUCCUACGGGAGGCAGCAGUGGGGAAUAUUGGACAAUGGGCGAAAGCCUGAUCCAGCCAUGCCGCGUGUGUGAAGAAGGUCUUCGGAUUGUAAAGCACUUUAAGUUGGGAGGAAGGGUUGUAGAUUAAUACUCUGCAAUUUUGACGUUACCGACAGAAUAAGCACCGGCUAACUCUGUGCCAGCAGCCGCGGUAAUACAGAGGGUGCAAGCGUUAAUCGGAAUUACUGGGCGUAAAGCGCGCGUAGGUGGUUUGUUAAGUUGGAUGUGAAAUCCCCGGGCUCAACCUGGGAACUGCAUUCAAAACUGACUGACUAGAGUAUGGUAGAGGGUGGUGGAAUUUCCUGUGUAGCGGUGAAUUGCGUAGAUAUAGGAAGGAACACCAGUGGCGAAGGCGACCACCUGGACUAAUACUGACACUGAGGUGCGAAAGCGUGGGGAGCAAACAGGAUUAGAUACCCUGG
rnacentral:rRNA from 1 species